UACGUAGGGUGCAAGCGUUAUCCGGAAUUAUUGGGCGUAAAGAGCUCGUAGGCGGUUUGUCGCGUCUGCUGUGAAAACCCGAGGCUCAACCUCGGGCCUGCAGUGGGUACGGGCAGACUAGAGUGAUGUAGGGGAGACUGGAAUUCCUGGUGUAGCGGUGAAAUGCGCAGAUAUCAGGAGGAACACCGAUGGCGAAGGCAGGUCUCUGGGCAUUAACUGACGCUGAGGAGCGAAAGCAUGGGGAGCGAACAGG
rnacentral:rRNA from 1 species